rnacentral:lncRNA from 1 species
GUUGUUAGUUCUCCUUCUUCAUAGCAUUUGUUAAAAACUUCAACAGUAAAUUCUUUUAAAUUACUCCAAAAAGUGCGAUAAAAUUCUACACUUAGCCCAUCUAUUCCUGGAGAUUUAUUUAAUUUCAUUUUAAAUAUUGCCUUAGUGCAUUCUUCUACUGUUAAAGGGGCCCCCAAGGAUUCACUUUCUAUUUCUGAUAGUUUGUGAUCAAUGUUGGUUUCAUUUAUAGAAUUUUUUAUAUCUUUUAAAUUCUGAGAAGUGCUUUUAUAUAGAUUUUCAUAGUAUGAUCUUUCUAUGUUUAGAAUUUCUGAGUGUUCUGUAACUAUUUUCCCAUCUUUAUUUUUAAGCGCUGUGAUACUCUUUUUGGUUUGUCUUGAUUUUUCAAGGCCCAGGAAGAAUUUAGUGUUUUUCUCUCCUUCUUCUAACCAUUGUACUCGGGAUCUUAUUUGUGCACCUUUAACUUUAUUUAAGUAGAGGUUUUCAAGUUUUUCUUCCAAUGGUUUUAAUUUCUUUUUCCAUAGUU